GUCUCGUUAGUAUAUAAAGUACGUAGUGUUGUGAUCGCUAAAGAAAUGAUUAUUACUGGACU
rnacentral:tRNA from 1 species